rnacentral:lncRNA from 7 species
AUAGAUGGAAUCAAGCAGCAGAGCGAGGGGAUGAAACCGGGCUGAAGCUCAUUUCAGGAACCCAAACAGAGAAUGAGCCUCAGUGUGAAAUAGGAACUGCCUGCACUGGUGCUGGGAGGAUGCAGCCACCACCCCUCCACUGCAUGUGAUUUGGAUGCUGGAGGUCUUCUGGAGCAGUGGCCGAGGAAGGAGCCAUGAGCACCCCCACGGUGAAGGGCAUCCUGUCCCUACUGCUCCUUGCCUGGCCAUCUGCUGGACUCACUCACCAGUCUCCGAACACAGCCGUCGUGUCCUUAGGGUCAGAUCUCACCCUUCAGUGUCUGCCCCAGAUGGUGCCAAACAGCCGUGACAAGGAAGUGGAGUGGUGUAGCAAGCUAAAGAUAAAGAAGAUGAUAAAGGAAGACAUGGGGGUUCUUCUACACAAGGAAAAUGGCUUUUCCAACCUCACCUUUACAAGCGUGGACGAAAAGUAUGCUGGAAACUACACAUGCAAGAUGAGGAUCUCACGCUGUGUGGGUGGUAAAAACAAGAACUGCCCAUGCAAGAGCCACAAGGCCACCGAGUUAGGUGGCCAGCCAAAAACUUCAGCCAGCAUCGUGCUGUGCAUGUUCAUGGUCUGGGCAGAGAAUAUGACCAUGCACGUGAGGUGGUGGACGUGCCCAGAGCUUCCUGGUGACCCUGUGGAGCACGGCAAGGUACAUCACAGUAACAGCCAUGGCAGCACGGACGCAGCCAGCGCAGAGCCCACCGUGCAUACCGUGUCGAGCAGCAGCUUCACAGGCACUGAGAAUGCCACCCAAGGGAUGGCUCCCAGCUCUGACCCCGAGACCUCUCCGACCCGUGAGCCUCAGACCUGGCAAGAUCUCAUAGGCAUCGUCUACAUGUAUGCCAUCCCCGGGUUAGUGGUGGUGAUUCUUCUCCUCCUGCUCUGUAUUUUGGUGUGCCUGUGCAGAAGAAACCAAAGGAAUGCUAAAGGAACUCCUGAAAGCAAGCAUGCAGCAGAGAUGAGUCAGCUCAGCACGCCUCCCCCAGCACCUCAGGCCGAGGAUGUGACGUAUGCAAAGCUGAUCUUUGACAGGUCAGGGGUGAUGCCUGAGGCCUCAGAAGUGGUGUACACGGAGAUAAAACCGCUGCAAAAGAAGUAGAGGGCCGAGGAUGGCCACGCUGCUCUGCAAAGGGAAGGCCUGUCAGCAGGAAGAGUGGGAAAGGGGGGACAAGCAGCUCAUGGCACGGCUGCCAUGCUGUGAGCCUUCAAAACCAGGCGUUCGCUCGUGUCAGUGUGGCCUGCGGAACCAAACUCCAUAUAACCACAAAGUAGUUAUAAAAUCAGGUACGUUUUAAUCAACGCUGCGCAGAGUUGGAUGCAAGGCGGAUAGCUCCUCCUAACUCGCAUACCGGUCCGCAGAAAUGUUACCCAUCUGUAAGUCAACUUCAUACAUAUUUAAUAGGUUACGUUGAACCCCACUCCAUAUUCAUUAAUCAAGUCCCUCCCCUCCGGCGCAUGCUUUGUAUUCUCCUCCGGGUGGUCGCAUCCCCAUCUGGUGGUCCCUUGGGAUGAAGUAAACACUCUUCCUCAUUGUCUUGC